CUUCAUCACAUUAAGCGCCUAACAACGGAAAUGGCCUAAAUCUGCAGUCACUGGAUGCAGUAAUGUUUGAAGGAUAGUUGCUGGAUCUCUGCUUGAUAAAGAUUCCAAAAGUUGGGUAAAGCCCUUCAUCACAUUAAGCGUCUAACAACGGAAAUGGCCUAAAUCUGCAGUCACUGGAUGCAGUAAUGUUUGAAGGAUAGUUGCUGGAUCUCUGCUUGAUAAAGAUUCCAAAAGUUGGGUAAAGCCCUUCAUCACAUUAAGCGUCUAACAACGGAAAUGGCCUAAAUCUGCAGUCACUGGAUGCAGUAAUGUUUGAAGGAUAGUUGCUGGAUCUCUGCUUGAUAAAGAUUCCAAAAGUUGGGUAAAGCCCUUCAUCACAUUAAGCGUCUAACAACGGAAAUGGCCUAAAUCUGCAGUCACUGGAUGCAGUAAUGUUUGAAGGAUAGUUGCUGGAUCUCUGCUUGAUAAAGAUUCCAAACUUUUUGUAUGCAUAAGUGAUGGAAGGUUUGAGAUUUAACAAGAAUUUAACAUCGAAGAUCGAGGACUUGAUUACCAUUGCAGAUUUCCUCCAUAUUUAUGAGUAUUAUCUUUAUUUUUUUACAUACUAUAUUUUUUCAUAAGGUUGUUGUAAAGAUGUCUAAUGAUCCAUUUUUUCUUUGAAUCUAAGUUAAGAAGUCUUCAUAGAGACAUGAUAGGAAUUUUGCUGGAUUAUGGAGUGGUUAGGUUAAAAUACACUACGCAAUAGCCAUUUCUUGAUCUUAGAAUAUUCAUAUAUUAUGCUAUUUUCGUUUAUAUUUUUACUGUAUUUUCUAAUUAUUUUAGUUUUACAACCCAAGAGAUAAAUGCAAUCAUAUGUGUAGGGUACGUAUGUACAAUUUAUGUGCUGGUAUUGGUGAUAGUUUAUUUCGCUUACUGCACAGUAUUUAUGAUUGGUACUGUAUAAGUGCAAAUUUCAAUCUUAUUAUUAUAAGUGUUAUAGUAAUAAUGAUGCAAGAUGGGAGAGAAUACACUUCAAGUGGUAUGUUGCAGAGGAGUGUAUUCUCCACUUUUCUCGGUUUGAGCUUUGUAUCACAAACCCUUUCCUAACAUCGGCAAAAUGUUUGAAAAUUGCUUUAAGUAAAGUUAACUAUUCACAACAAGAAAAUGGUGACAGGUGAGUGUCUGAAAGUACAAGUUAGUGAGAGGUACAGUGUUCCCCCAUAGUCGCGGGGGAUGAGUACCAGACAUCCUCGCGAAUAGCGCGAACCCAUGAAUAGUUAGAACUCCCCUCUAAACUUGCUUAUAUCUGCCUAUCUUGAAAUUUUAAAUACCAGAUGUAUAUACUUAAAGUAGAGGCACCAGUUUCCGGAUAGCUAAGGAUAAAAAUGAUCUACAUUUUCAUGGAUUUUGCCUUGUAACUUUUUCUGGUUUCAUUAUAUCUAAAUUAUAAGGAUGUAUAUGGAAAGAGGAAGCCUUCAGCUUCCAUUUACUGUCUCCAGAAUGUGAUUUCAGUGAUUCUGAGCGAAGUUAUUAAACCGGAAAAAAUGUCCAGAAAUUAAAAACCCCGAAAACCUAAUUCCUGGACGCUGUAACCUUAUUUCUGUCCAGGUCCUAUUUUGGGGUCUUGUUUUUUUGGGUCUUGUAAGGGCAGCAGAUGGCUCAAAUUUACAGAGGUUGUGUGCUGUUAUUCCUUUUACUCAUAGAAAAAGUUUAUUCACCAUUUUUGUUUUCAUUAUGAAAUGGUACUCAGAAAUGGGGAAAAUUUAUAGAAAUUUAUAAUAAACAAAAAUGCUCUUUUUAUAUUUGUACAGAUGGAAUCUAAUUUACUAAUGACAUAAUAACCAAUAUUAUGCAUCAUCCUGAAGAAUAUAAAAAUACAAUUACCACAGAAAAAUACAAGGCUUUGCUAUUAAAUUCACUCUUACA